GCCUAUCCACCAUUCCAGAUUGAAUAUACCCGAUCUCGUCUGAUCUCGGAAGUCAAGCCAAUCUCGGGCUUGGUUAGUACUUGGAUGGGUGACCGCUUGGGAAUACCAAGUGUGAUAAGCA
rnacentral:rRNA from 1 species